GUUCAUACCAUGCUGAAUAUACCGGAAUAUACCGGUAAUACGUUAGUUCACCGAAGUCAAGCAUCAUUGGGCGCGGUCAGUACUUGGGUGGGUGACCACCUGGGAAUACCGCGUUUC